UAAUAUAAAAUUCCUAAUGUUGACAAUGUUGUCAUUUAUUAAAGAAACCAAUAUUAACGAAGACUAUAGAGACUAGAGAAUAGAAAUGUCUUGCUGUAUGCAUAGUACCUUGGGCUGCUGUAAGGAUCGUGGUCAAACAUAAUUCGUGGAUAGGAUUGCGAAUUGUAAUACAUGAAAUUCAAAUCAAGCCGCUCAAAAUUGCAACACAUUAUUUUGUGUGUAUAACUAUUAUGUAUAGGUACCUAAUAGACAUUUUUGAAAUUCUUCUCGGAGGUGUGUAUUUCAUGUUGUAAAUUGGAUUAAUGUACUGGUAUCAUAUUAUUAUAUCUGCUGAAAAGAAACACUUUCAAAAACCACUCAACACAUUAAAACCCGUCCGUGAUGGAACGAAACUCAAUGACAUUUAACUGUUUGUUAAAUGUGUUGGAUAUACUGAUGAAUUUGUUGAAAAAAAUUCAUUCAUUAGUUUAUGAACAACAUUUAUAGAAUUGUAUAAAUGUAGAAAAAUAUCUGAUGACAAUAAUCCAGCAGUGAAUAUGAGCGAACACAUUAUUAUCAUUCAUAAUUUCUCUUAACUGUUUGGUUUAUAUGUGAUAUUGUUUUAUAAAGUUGAUUGCAAAUACCUAUGUUGAAUAUUUUAUUUAUUAUAUCAAAACAAUUUGUAUUUGCACAAUACUAAUCAAAAACA